AGUGAACGCUGGCGGUAGGCCUAACACAUGCAAGUCGAACGGCAGCACAGUAAGAGCUUGCUCUUACGGGUGGCGAGUGGCGGACGGGUGAGGAAUACAUCGGAAUCUACUUUUUCGUGGGGGAUAACGUAGGGAAACUUACGCUAAUACCGCAUACGACCUACGGGUGAAAGCAGGGGAUCUUCGGACCUUGCGCGAUUGAAUGAGCCGAUGUCGGAUUAGCUAGUUGGCGGGGUAAAGGCCCACCAAGGCGACGAUCCGUAGCUGGUCUGAGAGGAUGAUCAGCCACACUGGAACUGAGACACGAUCCAGACUCCUACGGGAGGCAGCAGUGGGGAAUAUUGGACAAUGGGCGCAAGCCUGAUCCAGCCAUACCGCGUGGGUGAAGAAGGCCUUCGGGUUGUAAAGCCCUUUUGUUGGGAAAGAAAGGCAGCAGGUUAAUACCCCGCUGUUCUGACGGUACCCAAAGAAUAAGCACCGGCUAACUUCGUG
rnacentral:rRNA from 1 species